rnacentral:lncRNA from 1 species
CGACGCCGCCGCCCUCGGCAAGGAGGGAUGACAUGCACAUGCACUCAGCACGGAUCCACAGCGGCGCUCCUCUCCGGCGAUGUCGCAGGUGCAUCCGAGGAGUUGCGUCCAGAUCUGCAACGCCACAGCUCCGGUACGACACUCCCCAUGGCAGAUCCGCCCCCUCCUAGUCUUAAUCAAAUGUUUCUAGCGUGCUGAUGUGGUUCUCUAUUCUAUCUGUGGCGCGGGGCAGCGACCAAACCUCGCAUGCACGGCGAGGACGACGACUGCUUGCCGACGCCGCCGCCCUCGGUGAGGAGGGAUGACAUGCACAAGCAGAAAGCACGCUGUGCACCGACCGACGCGCCGCGGGGACACGACCACCUCAACCAACGGCGCAUCUGACCACACCUCCACAUCCACACCGCUCCAGCCAGCCGGUCACAAGACAUCGCUCUGUGCCCGCCUCAUGCCGCUGCACCCCUCGGCAGCAACUCCCUCUCAGCAACAGCUAGCUCGCACGGAUCCCGCUUAUCUGAUGGUAAGAACAUUAAUCCUUAAUCUGUGGCAGCAUCUCUGCAUCCUUAGAUAUAUUUUGUAGGUUUUGUUCAGAUGUUGAACUGAACAUUGAGCAUUUUAGUUUCCAUAUGUUUGUGUAGAUGCUUGCUAGAUGUUAGCUAGGGUUUCUGCUGAUGUUUGCUAGAUGUUUGCUAGGGUUUUUGGAGAUGUACCUAUAGUACCUUGAGCAUUAUUAUAGGGUUUGUGCAGAUGUUUGCUACAACUUUGAGCAUUUUUUUUCAAUAUGUUGCAGACCGUCUUGCUGUGCAUGACGGAUAACAGAAGACAUUGACCUUUUUAUAGAAGGGGUACAGCUAUGCACCUUUCAUGCACCUGUUGCUAGGUAUGGUGUAUGUUUUUACUUAACUUUCUAAGAAAUCCUUUAUUGGUCAGCUGUUGCUAUGUUAUCAAAUACCAUAAGGUGUUCAGAAAGCAAGUCAUGAACCAAUGGAGGUUAAACUAUCGUAGAUUGUGGUGUGCCAUAUAAUUAGCUUAUGCAGAAUCAACUGCUUUAAUUUGAAUUUGUGCAAAUUUACCAAAUUAUCACAAAAGUACACUCCCAAGAAAAGUUAUCACCUGAGGAUGAAUUAUUUGGAAUGCAUAUCUCAAAGUAACAUGUUUACUGAUUUCCUAUUAUUAGCCACUUCUAUUACGAACCAGACCCACUUGUGAAGGCCACAUUAACAUUUGCAGGAGCAGCACUGGCACCUAUUGCCCUGCUGUACUGAUGAGGGCCAGAGCGAACUGGGAUGCAUGUGGCGAACAGAGGAUGUAUAUGUCAGCUCCCUCACCUUCAACAUGUCGAUUAUAUGUGAGGGCUUCUUCUUAUUUUUCGUUCUCCAAUUUUAAUUUUUAUUAUCCAUGUGGAAAAAGAUUUUAGGUUGUGUCCUCUCUUUUAAUUUAAUGCUCAGCCAUGUCCUCUUCCAAUUGAAAGCUAUCCAUAUUGACAGCUCCUAUUAUUAAUGUGGGUGCUUUACUCUUCAUAUUUUGAUGCCUAUGCAUUUUACUGGAAAUGUUGUAUGGAGGACUAAAAUUCUUCAUGUGAAAGUAACCGUAGUAGAACUAAGAUUAGUAUAAACUAUUUUCAUGUAUGAUUUCUUUUUAAUUUCUAGCAGUGUAUAAUUGUUGUUUGUGAAUUUUAGGAUUGUAUUAAACAAAACCCAAAAAUUCUUAACACCGGUGCAACGCGCAGGGCUUUUAUUACAUGAAAGGACUUAUUAUUAUGACUAUCAUAAUAUUAAGAUUUUCAUAAUUGUUUUUUUUUGUUCUCUUCCAUGUUAAGAAUUCCAUGCAUGCUAAUUUUGCUAUAUAAUGUGCUUAAGAAAAUGACGUGUUCAGAAUUGCCAGCAAAAAAUUGUAGGUGAACAUACAGGAAAUACAAGAUAAAUCAUACUUUUGAUAGAAUAUCUCAACAAAACAUGAUCCUAGUAUAACAAAUAUAACACUAUUAGAGAAUAUAAAGAUCCAGAAUUAUUCGUACCUAGAGGAACUCGCCUUAAAGAUGCUCCUUGCUUACACAAGGUACUCCUUGGGAAAUUUUCGUCCAGGUCAGCUGUUGUGAUGGCCGAAGGAAGAGCAAGGAGGGGGAGGAGGGAUGGCAGAGAAGGUUAACAUAUAUAUAUAUAUAUAUAUAUAUAUAUAUAUAUAUAUAUAUAUAUAUAUAUAUAUAGGUAGGACAUGCGGAGAAUAACUGGGUAGCAGAUCAAAGCUGAAUAUAGUUCUACCAUAUAUAACAAUGUUUUCUACCAUAUAUACCACUAUUGAUGGUGCAAAUCUCUUUCCUUUUUCCAUAAAAUGCACACCUGUUAAUAAAUAAGCAAAUAACAAAAUAAUCAUAACUUUCUAAAUAAUUAAAUUACUGUAUUAAUUAAAUAAAAAGAUUUUCAUUGCUUGCAUGCCAAAUUUAGCUACAGCAAACAAAAAUCACAGCAUGCACACUACUCAUCUUCCGCAAUUACUAUUUUUGUAUGAUUUAACAGUUUGUACUAAUACUUCAUUCCAUACUUUGGUAGUAAUGUACAGUCUCAUUAUGCUUGUUGCAAUUGUAAUAUCUGAGAGACCACACAAGUUAGAUGAAUGCUGUCAAUUCCAGAUUAUCCAUGGUUUCCCGAUGCCAAAGGUAACCAAUACUAAUUGUGGAUUUAUGGAAUCAACAUUUUAUUUUAGCGUUGAUGUUGAUCAGUACUAAUUGACGUUAUAUUUACCUAUAGUUAUUUUUGCCAAUUAUAAUUCAUGACUUUAUGGAUCUUUUGACAUAUCGUGGAUGUACUUUACUAUUUAGGGCUGCUCGUGUGUUAAUGUGGGAGUUGUAGGAUUUAUACAAGCAUAUUAAGUUAUAAAUCUGCUACGUACUAUACAUGUAAUAAAAAUUGCAUUCACUGCUAUGAUUCAGCAUUUCGUGUCAGCCUAGGACCACAUACAACAUAUGAAUAUUCCAGCAAGUUGAUAAAUCUUGGCCAACCUAGCAACCUAUAAAUAUUUGCAACAAAAAGGCACCAAAUGUCUAUCUUCUGCCACCUAGAGAUCCCCAAGACCACUUGUUCUUUCAAUCAAAUGGAUGAUUAAUCACUACAAAUCGACAUUAGCUCCCCCAAAAAAGUCCAAACCAAACUGUGACUUGAGAGGGAGUUAAACAGAUCGAGUUUAAUCAUGGUCCCACAUAUUUCAAUUUGUCCUUGCUAUUGUUACUUUGAUCUGUGCACACAAAUAGUCAGGGAAUAACUGUCAUACACAGAGCAAUUAGGCGGGAGGAAGACAUAGAGGAAUAGUACAGGCUACAUAGUAUGUUAUCUGAACCACCACAUAGAGCACAACCAGCUUCCUCUUCCCAGCGCCAAAGCCACCAACCCCUCUGCAUCCUCCGUGAGCAGAGCAGAGCACAGCCGGCAGCACGACAACACGCAUGCUUCACGACCUUACAGGAAACCCAUCUCCAUGCUUGGGCGCAGUCGUGCCACUGCACACCAAGGCACCUACUGCGUACAGCAGGCCGGCCGCGCGCUCCUUCCAUAUGCUCUCUGACCGCGCCGCCGACAGAGCAAAGCCUGUCUGAGGAAAUGGCUGAAUUUAUCUUCACCUGCGCCAUGAAUGCGUGGUUAAGACCUGCUCUUGUCCCGGAUGCUGUACCCAAUACCUCGGCUUCUUGCUCGUUCUCUUCUUCCUUAUAGUAUUGCUGCACAUCUCAAAUUCCUAGCGUGGCAGAGGUCAGAACAUAGGGCGAGUGAGAGGGGCAUGGUACCGGCAAGUGAGUGGAAUAUGAUAAUGGAGGAAGAAGGAUAACUCUUGAUGCGCCACCCCCGCCCCGUCAACGACCGCUCGUCGACGUCCAAGCCAAUAAUGAUCCAUAUCUAACCCACUUCCGCCUCCACAUCCUUCUUCGGUUUACCUUAGGCGACAUGAGCAGUGUGGGCGAUAGUUAGUUGUGGUUGGAGGCGCUGGAAACCAGUGGGUUUUUUUAGGGAAAGAGCAGCGAUCGGGAGAGGGGCACGGGGAUCUACUAUCAAGAUCGGCAUGGGGAGUGAUCCUCGGAAUAUUUUUUCGUGAAUUGAUCUUCUAACGGCGGAAAAUGACAAUAGGUGCAGAAACAGUUGGAGGCACAAUGCUGCCGCCGAAGGAUGUAAAUAUCCUGUAACUCUGGCUGCUCAUCUAAUCUAGCGUCAAGCCCUAUUACCCCAGUACAGCUUCUGAAAUGGAGCUAAAUGCUCAGUCAUGGCAGAAAACCGAAUGAUUCGUUCAUGAUGUUGCAACAAAAUCGAUUAAUAAUCCAACAAUAUGGUAAUAAAACCAAACUUCAAUAAUACCAAAACAGCAUAAAGUUCGAAUAGGUUGAUAAUACCAAAACAUCCUAAACUUUUUGAACAUACGUCUAUAGAGGACCCCACUAACUUAUUAUCUAAUUAUUCAUAUCAAAAAUAAAUAAUUAUCAAAACGUUCCAUAACAAAUCUGUAGUGUAGGAAAACAUUCUUGGCAUAUCUGCAUGCAUCAGUCCUUCUUCAGUUGCUUAAAACCCUCAGGGCCGCUCUAAUCUCUGGCGGGAUGUUUGCAGCAGCUUCAUUGUCUUUGAACAUUAACAUGUGGACCGUAGCUUGAUGUCUGAGCUGUAUAGGAUCCUAGGAAAGGUGCAAAAACUCAAAACAUUUAAUAAACUGGUUGGAUAUUAAUUAGCACACAUCAACUCAUCAUUUUUGUACUUACGGUAGUGUUCAUCCAGCCCAUGCUACGCAAACGACCAAUCUGGUGGGCCAUCUCCUGUAGCACAAAGAAGCCGGAGUGUUUGCUGCGACAAAAUAAAUAAAUAUUAAACAUUAUAAAGGUCUGCAUCUUAUGUAUGCAAUAAAUUUAGUAUUUUACUGACGAGCAGCACAGGACAUGGUAUCUUGUUCCCAAUCCAUGAUUUGGUUAUUCCAACCAGCGAUCCUAGUCUGCAACACAGUGUUGAAUUCUUCCUUCAGCAGUGUGAUUUCCUUCCUCAUCAAUAUGUUAUGAGUGCUAUCUUCAGGAUCAAACGUGUUGAAGGAUGGAUCCAUCACGACAACCCUCCUCCUCAGCCGGCUGACUACAAGUAACCCGUAUGACGAAUCCGAAAGUUUCAACAGUAGUAGAUACUGUGGCAGAUCGACACAUAUAAAUUGCUAUUAUAAUAAGUAAAACUAACUUUAGGAAUGAGCUUCUCUUACAAUUACAGAGUUGAACACAUCAUAUUUAGGAAGAGGCGGGACCACAACAUAGUUAAUCAGCGUCGUGAUGCGCUCUCCUUGAGUCAUCCAGGAGUACCUCAGGGCCUGUGACUGAGCAUGAAACUGCAAGUCGAAAUAAUGUUUGCUCCCAACCCAGUUGGUGCCUGCGGUCCUCUCUAAUUCAGCGCUGGCAAGCUUACGUACAACAAGGUUGAAGCAUUCGGGAUGAAGUUUUGUAUGAAAAAAAGGGUGUCCUGGAUCAUUCGGAGGCUGAUGUCGAUCUGGUACGACCGGGAGCUUCUUAUCCAUAUUAAGCUGAAAAAAAUGCCCAACAUAAGACAUCAAUGGUCGUCUUCUAGUUUAACUUUGUCUAUACUAACCUAUAAACCGAAUUUAUGUUUAGAUUGCAUGACAUUGCACGAGGUCAGAUUGUCCUCACCUAGAUGUACAUACACGUAUCAAAUCUAGAACCUUAAUUCAUGGGCUGUGCAUGUCACUCUUCAUGUAGCAUCGGAUUCAACUAAAAAACUUAUACAUGUACCUAUGAAUGUUUUAUGAUUGCCCAUCUAGCUAUCUUUCCUUGGUGUGUAAAACAGUUUUCCAGCAUUAUCUGUAUAUAGUAAAAGAAUGUAUAAUAAGACAACUUACUUUAAUGUAUCUUGGUCUCGAAUGCCCAUGAUAAAGUGAAAUAUGUAUUGGAGUGCAUCUUCAAUGGCAUGCAUUGGUGGGUGCAAAACAUCCAUGGGCGCAGGCACAUCCUCCUGGGGACCGGGAACAUCCUCCUGGGCCGCAGACGCACCCUCUUCGGGUGCGUGUGCAGCGUUCCCAAUGAUCGCCUCCAUUGAAUAGAAAUUUAGUUCUUUAGUUCUCGAUCGGAAAUUGCUGAUGGGAUAUAUGUGAGUUUGGGUGGGUGGAUAAAUAGUAGGCAGAUGGAGUUUAUAAUUUUGGUACCGUGACAUCUAAUAAAUUGGAGAGUUGAUAUUGCCUUCCAAAUGAUCAACGUCGUUUAAUUAAAGCAGUUAUUCAUUUCCAUCUAUAACAUGUUAUAACUUGUGGACGGAUCUGAUCUUUCUCCCCGUAUCAGAUAAUAUAUUCCCGAUUACAUUAUUUCAGCCCACUUUGUCUGUGAAUACAACAGCAAAGGAAGUAAAAGAAACUUCCUUUUCCUCCUCCCCGUGGUCGUCUGUAUGUACAAGCAUUAUAUCUUUAUUAGGGUAAACAUAUCUGUAGAUUUAAUACAAUCUUAUUUUUCUAUCACAGACAAAGUGGAAUAUUUAAUUUAUUAACUCAUAAUAAUCUAUACACCGAAGGAUUGCAACGGAGUACGUCUGCUAAUAAAUCAGAGAAGAUGUAAAAGAUCCAAACAUGUUUAAAACAAAUUUGUUUAUUUAGUAUUUCUUUAAGUUACAAAAUAGUUUUUACGAUGUAUUUCUUUAGUAUUUCUUUAAGUUACAAAAUAUUUUUAAAACAAAAUAGUUUUGCACCAAAAAAAUGCAAUAGAUACAAUCUGUGAUUUGUCUAUUAAAAUAUUAAAGUUGUAAAAGUGAAAUUAUAUUGAAUUUUUUGAUCACUUAUUUUCUCAUUGAAAAUAAUGCUUUGGACUUUUUAUGUCACUUGUUUGCUUGACUGUAUAUAAACUAAUUGUAGUUAUCUAUUGAUGUUUUGAUUUGGCAGCUUUUAUUAUACAUCCCGUUCGACUGCAUAUGAACUCACUUUACAAGACAUUCGACAUGUAGCUAUUAUAAUAAAUCCCGUUAGACUGGUAUGAGAUUUUUUCUUCUUUCUUGAACUCGUCGUGCUCAUGGUAACAUGGGAAUUACUUGAUACUAAUGUAUGGUAUUACAUGUUUCUGUUUUCAGUGUAAAUGUGUUCAUUUACCAACCUAAGAUUGGUCAAUCUACAAUCAGGGACAGCCUUGAUGCCUUCUCAUGUAAGAGUAAGAUCCACAUCAUUUAAAUAACUUGAGUCCAUUACAUCAUGAUAAUAGGGUCAAGCUCCACUUUAAUUUGCAGGUAAAGCAUGCAGGAAAUGAUUGUUGACUUACAAUAAGAUAUGAAUAUGAGGUAAUUACUUUCCAUCAGCCAUAGAUUUAUGACAAGUGCUUUUCUUUUACACCGGUGUUGAUAAGUAGGCAUUGUCGUGUUAGUUAUAUAUAGUUCGUAUUGCCAUCAGUCUAGUUCAUGACUUUACAGUUAUAAUUGACGUGAUAUUUCGAGUUAUAGGCUGCGUCGCAGAAUAAAUGUUUAAUAUAUCCAAAAUAAAAAAAAGAAUUUAAAAGUAUGUAGUUGAUGCUCCCAUCAUAUUGGACGCUGGCUUAAACCAACCUACGACCUCUUCCCGCUUCCAGUUCGAUGCUUCCUAGCUUCUAGUGGUGGGAUUAAUCAAUAUUAUUGCCACCAAGAUUUCUAGCCUUCUUAAAAAUUCACAUUGAUCCUUUGGUCCCAUGGACUACUGGCACAAAUGCUCGUAUGAUCUUCGUAAGUUUCUUAGGGGCUGGUCUCUUAACAGAGAAGCGGAGACCCGCAGGGAGUAAAAUUCAUUAUAGGGCCAGAUCGCGGGCUUGGACCUUUUAGCAGAUGCGAUAGGCUUCUCGGAGCAUGAUUUGUCAGUCCGAUAAAACCUUGAAUCCGCUCUGGUGCAGCUGCAUCAGCAGUGAGAGAUCAAUUGGCGUCAGCGUGGUACCCUCAAUUGGACUCUUAAAGGGGACUCCCCAAUGACCUACUUCAGCGCCCAUACAAUGGUAGGAGAAGAUGAUGUUUUAGAUAGCCUUAUCAUUAAUGUAGUUACGACUUCGGGUCAAUCCCUCAUCAUAUGCCAUGUUGUAGAAUUCUUCUCUUCUCUUUUGGGGGAUACAGGAGUGUGGUCUCUCUAUCUCUCCCUCUAUAUGCGACAAUUGUAACAUGAUGUCAAACAUCGAGAAUGAGGCCUUAAUGAUUCAGUUGUCUGAUGAAGGUCUGGGAGGUCAUUAACUCUGCCAACCGAAAGGCAGCCUCUGGGCCUGAUGGGCAUUUUAUUCCCUUGUUCAAAUGUUUAAUAUAUCAAAAACACAAAAAGUAUUUAAACCUAUAUAUACGAUCCAAUGCAUAUUAUAGCUAUCCGUAUUGCCAAAUAGAUAAUUCUCAAUACGAUCCCUAACAAAGAUAUAGUAGCCAUUUAUCUGCGACAUACGAAAAUGCAAUUGACCAUAUUCAGUCGUAUAAAACCCUCAAUGCCGCUUUAAUUUCAUCUGGUAUGUUUCCAGCAGCUUCAUUGUUUCUUAUCGUGAGCAUCUGGACCAACAGGUUCUUUCUGAGCUGUAUUGAAUCCUAGAGAAGAUGAAAGAAAUAGUCAUUUUUAAAUUGCUGGAAAAUAGAUCGCACGAUAAACCUCGUUAUUGUGUACUUACGCGAGUGGUCUUCCUACCAGAGUCAGUAGUACCAUUCUGGUGGGCCAUCUCCUGUAGGACAAGUAAAGCAGAGUCUUUGCUGUUUCAAAAAAAAACUAUAUUAAAACUAUAACGGUCUGCUCAUAACGCGUGUGAUCGAUAUACUAUAUUACCGCCUGCCAUUUGAAACGAUGUCGUGCGUUGACCAGUCCAUGAGAUUGGUAUUCCAACCAGGGAUCCUCAUCUACAACACAUUGUUGAACUCUUGUUUCCACAUUGUGAUUUCCUUCCUCGUUUCAGUGUUAUGAAAGUUGUAUGAUCCACCAUAGACGUCGAUUGAUGGAUCAAUUGGGAGAACCCUCCUAGUUUCCAUGUCGACUACAAGUAGUCCGUACGAAGAAUCCACAGAAGCAAAUGGUAGUAGAUACUGUCGUAAAUAGACACAUGUUAGUACAAAAUGGAAUUAGCAAAUUAAAUUAUAAGAAUGAGUCUCUUACAAUGUUAGAGUUGAACACAUCAUAUUUAGGAAACGGCCGAAGAAUGGCAUUGUCAAUCAGCACCGCGGUGCGUGUUUCUUGCUCCAUCGAAGAGUGUAUGAGGGCCCAUGCCAGAGAAUGAAACUGCAAGUCGAAAAAAUGUUUGUUUCCAAGCAUUCUUGUACCUGCAGUGCUCUCUACUUCAGCGCUAGCAAGCUUACGAACUGCAAGAUUGAAGCACUCGGGAUGAAUUAUUCCAAAUAGGCUAAUUGUUUCCUGGAGCAUCCGUGGGCUGAUUUCAAUCUGAUAUGGUCGUUCGCUUCUAAUCCGUAGGCUGGUCAAAAAAUGCAGACCAAUCUUUACCAAAUCACAUUUAGACACACUAUUUUGUAUAAUAUAAAGCAGUGAAAAAAAGUUACUUAAUUUAAAACACGCUAGAUCUUUUGUUAUAAUCUGGUAGCUAUUUUGUAUUUAAUAAUGUUAGAGAUGAAUAAAAAUAAAAUGGGCACAUGUACCACAUCAAAAAUGCUGUGAUACAGUCACAUAAAAUAUUUAGCAACGGUGAAACAGUGCAAAAGAUAUAUACACUAAUAUAUAUAACACCUAGACAACCAAACAUAAUUAGUGGACUAUCAUGGUUAAUUAUGUCUAGCCUGCUGUGUUGCCCAACCGAUAUCUAGCCUGAUGUGUACAAGAAUGAUAUGAAGAGCAAAACAACUUACUUUAGUGCCUCAUCGUCCUGGACAACAGUGAUAAACUGGAAAAUGUAUUCAACGGCAUCUUCUAGGGCAUGCGCGUUGCCCGCAGCCUCCUGAGGGGCGGGCAACGCCUCUUCUGGUGCUAGCUGAACAUCCACUGGCUCGUGCACAGCCUCCAUUGAUGAGAGUCGUGAGUGAUUGAAAAUUGGUGAAGACUGGGGUGGGUGUUGAAACAGGAGUUCGUCGUUGGUUAUAUGAAGGGAUCAGUAUAUGUUAUGGCAGCUGCAUCAUAUAGACUUGUGUGCCUUCCAAAUAAUACGGAAACUUCCAUUGUUGAAAGCCACAUAAUAAGCAAACUUUUAAUUACGCCUGAUUUUCAGCAUCGGAUGCAUUAAGUGUCACAACACAUAGUACAUAAGGCAUAUGGAAGGUGCCACAUAUCAUUCCAUCCGACAAUGUCUAUAUUAUUCAUUUCCUAGUAUAAAAUAUUUUCAGCUGUGAACGGAUCAUAUCUUUGUACGAUAAGUGGAAGGUGUCCCAUACAUUUCCGAAACAAAACAUAUGAAGAAACCGGCCUUCUAUUACCAAACAAACUUUCUAUAUAAUUUAUGUAUAUUUAAUCUGUUCACGUGUACUCUAAAAUUGUGUCUACAUUUAUUUGCAAACUGUUCAACGUGUGUUACAAAUCAUUGUGCAUAAUACAAAAUUAUAUAAAUAUGUUAAGACAUGGCAAACGUGUUUAUAGGAAUGUUAGAAUAAUUUUACACAAUAUAUUUUGUAUUACAUGUAGAUUGGUUAAAUAUAAUUAGCGCUUACUAUUUUUUUAGUGCAUGAUGUUCCUUAACAAAAAAUACUUGUAUAAUUUCCUAAUACACGGGAAUUUCUGAACUAAAUGUUGAACGGUGUUUUCUUCAAAAGCAUGAACACCUCAUUCAAAUUUGCCAUAACAAAAACUCUAGACAUGAUGAUAUGGUCCAUAGGCGCCUGUGCGUUGCAACGGGGUACAUAUAACAUGAUCUAACCUAUACCAUGUGGAAUAAUCUAUAUCUUUACCCUUAAUUGAAUUAUGAUACUACAACCCACUUCUUUUACAUGCAUUGAUCCAUAUUUUAAGCUCACGGGUAUAUCUCCAUGGAGAGAAAAUUUUCAGUUAUAAAACCUCGUUCUUGCCGAUGCACGUCUAGAUGUGUUUUAAGUAGUAUACGUGGCACAUAUAAAUCACAUGUAUUUGGUGUGGGUAGCGUUUUCAUUUAGUUUUAUGUUUGAGUGCCACGUAUGAACGUGGAAUAACUAAGACACAUCUACUUAUGUCUUACAGAUACACAUAGGAAGCCUUCUAGAAAGAAAUGUUCCCGCAAAUUAUUUCUAGAGUUUACUUGAUCAAUAAAAUACAGCUUUAGUGUGUCUAGUAACAAUAUGUUAGUGCAUGAAACACCGCACAAUGGCCUUUUAGUCCCGCAAGUCUUUAAAGAAAACGUAAGAGUUUAUAAUGAUCAUAUUCAUGAGAAACAUAUAAGUCGUAAAGGUAAAAAUGAAGCAACUAUUGUUUGUUAUAUAUUCCAACUUCAACAUAAUCCUUACAUGCGCGCCGUUCGUGCACUACAGUGUUACGAUCGAUAAGGCAUAAAUGGAGGAGGGAUAAGAGAGGGAGAACAUGGACCAUAGUACUGGCGGAUGGGUCCAAACAUGCGUCGGCGGAGGCGUGGGUGCGCGUGAUGUUAUUCCUCGAUCAUGCCUAUGUUGGGAUCGCACGAGGGGAAGAUGACUUAGUGAGUUAUUCCAAUAAAAAAACUACUAAGUGGAUCUGUUGUUUCCUUUCAUGGCUUUUGUGAAAAAAGGAAUGGUGGGGGAGAGACGGCUCAAGGACGA